ACGAACCGAGCGAACGUUAUUCGGAAUCACUGGGCUUAAAGGGCGCGUAGGCGGGCCCGAAAGUCAGGGGUGAAAGCCCACGGCUCAACCGUGGAAGUGCCUCUGAUACUUCGGGCCUCGAGGGAGGUAGGGGCGUGCGGAACUUCCGGUGGAGCGGUGAAAUGCGUAGAUAUCGGAAGGAACGUCGGUGGCGAAAGCGGCGCGCUGGACCUCUUCUGACGCUGAGGCGCGAAAGCCAGGGGAGCGAACGGGA
rnacentral:rRNA from 1 species